CAGCCGCCGCGGGAAUACGGAGGGUGCAAGCGUUAAUCGGAAUUACUGGGCGUAAAGCGCACGCAGGCGGUCUGACAAGUCAGAUGUGAAAUCCCCGGGCUUAACCUGGGAACUGCAUUUGAAACUGUCAGGCUGGAGUCUUGUAGAGGGGGGUGGAAUUCCAGGUGUAGCGGUGAAAUGCGUAGAGAUCUGGAGGAAUACCGGUGGCGAAGGCGGCCCCCUGGACAAAGACUGACGCUCAGGUGCGAAAGCGUGGGGAGCAAACAGGAUUAGAUACCCCUGUAGUCCCUGUCUCUUAUCC
rnacentral:rRNA from 1 species